ensembl:snRNA U5 U5 spliceosomal RNA
UCACUCUGGUUUCUCUGCAGAUCAAAUAAAUCUUUUGCCUUUUACUAAAGAUUUCUGUGCAGGGAAACAAAAAGAGAUUGAUUUAAUUUUUUUGAUGCCCUGUUGAACUGCAGGGCU